rnacentral:lncRNA from 1 species
UCUUAACACUCGAUACAAAAUUUCACUGCUUGACCUAGUACAGGUACAUCCAUAUAUCCAACCAACGUCCGGCAUGCUGUAAGCACCCUGGCAGGAAGGCAGAUGAUAACCAGAUUGCUUGAAACAGUGGACACCCACCCCCACCCCAAAACUGCAACUCCCCCAAAUGUCUCAUGCUGGCAGGAGGAGGAGGCUGGGGCCCUGUGCCAACCAGAAGAGGAAGAGAUUUCAUGGUUCUGACAACUCGUCAGACCUCUUCAGAGGACACGGGGCAACGUGAUGAUGCCGGUGAUGACUGCACCUUGAGCAAGAGGUACUGCUUAUGUAUGGCUGCCUCUUGUCUUCUAUUUUUUUUUUCUUUUUUCUUUUUUCCGGAGCUGGGGACUGAACCCAGGGCCUCUCGCCUGCUAGGCAAGCGCUCUACCGCUGAGCUAAAUUCCCAACCCCCCUUGUCUUCUAUUUAAAUGUAUACCUUCAGUCAAGACCUAGAAAGAUGAGUCUGAGUAUUGGAGGAGCUUCCCAACAUGCCUACCUUAAAUUUAUCUCCUUUUUCUGCUCUCACUAUUAAUUUUUUUCAUUAAUUAAUUAUCCUACUGAAGGUAGGUGGUUGAACCCGGCUGCCAGGGCCUAGGCUCAGACUCUAUCCACUCCAGCGGCAACUUGAUACAUUUUGAUCCUUUGUGACCAACUUAAAACAGUCCAGAACUCACACUGACCC